rnacentral:rRNA from 1 species
GAUGAACGCUGGCGGCGUGCCUAAUACAUGCAAGUCGAGCGAACAGACGAGGAGCUUGCUCCUCUGACGUUAGCGGCGGACGGGUGAGUAGCACGUGGAUAACCUACCUAUAAGACUGGGAUAACUUCGGGAAACCGGAGCUAAUACCGGAUAAUAUAUUGAACCGCAUGGUUCAAUAGUGAAAGACGGCUUUGCUGUCACUUAUAGAUGGAUCCGCGCCGCAUUAGCUAGUUGGUAAGGUAACGGCUUACCAAGGCAACGAUGCGUAGCCGACCUGAGAGGGUGAUCGGCCACACUGGAACUGAGACACGGUCCAGACUCCUACGGGAGGCAGCAGUAGGGAAUCUUCCGCAAUGGGCGAAAGCCUGACGGAGCAACGCCGCGUGAGUGAUGAAGGUCUUCGGAUCGUAAAACUCUGUUAUUAGGGAAGAACAAAUGUGUAAGUAACUAUGCACGUCUUGACGGUACCUAAUCAGAAAGCCACGGCUAACUACGUG